ACAGCUAAAUAUCCCAGGAUGCAUUUUGUCCAAAACCGAAACACGGUAAUGGCGGAGAAGCGCGGCGAAAAGCUUUUAAAUAUUACUCUUUCUGGGUCACAAAAUAAACUUUUAAGUUAUUUUCAAGCGAGAAUGUAGCUGUGUAAGCUUUAAAUAUCUGCUUGAUUUAUCGAGAUAUCAUGUAUUUCCAACGUUUUCGGAGACGUCUGUUACCCACCAGCUCCGUGGCAGACCGAGAGGUUGAGGAUCACUAGAGCCGUUGAUUUAAGACGGGAUGGCAGUAAAACUACGGACCUGUGACAUAAUCGCUGGUGUUCCAGUUGUACAAAUCGUGAGUCCGUGCUCGUGUUCUUGGGAAGUCCGUACUCCCGUGCAUUCUCGGCAAAUCCAGACUCACCAAGAACGUGAGUACGGACUCGCGUACUUGAGAAUUGAGAAAGGGCCGAAGACGAGGUUCGGGGCCAUCUUCCUUCAAGCGCUGGAGGUGCACCACACCUUUGUACCACAUGUCAUAACAGCAUGUGCUGUCCUGCACAACAUCUGCCUUGGUGCUGGUGAUGCUACGGUUCUAAGGAUGCAGCCUACUUUUUGGGACACAGCUACAGACAGAGAGAGAGACCGGCUUUUUGCAGUGUAUUUCUCAUAUUGAUG